rnacentral:sRNA from 1 species
GUGGGCCCAUCCCAGGCAGAAAGAGCAAGAGGGCAGGGAGGGAGCACAGGGGUGGCCAGCGUAGGGUCCAGCACGUGGGGUGGUACCCCAGGCCUGGGUCAGACAGGGACAAGGCAGGGGACACAGGACAGAGGGGUCCCCAGCUGCCACCUCACCCACCGCAAUUCAUUUAGUAGCAGGCACAGGGGCAGCUCCGGCACGGCUUUCUCAGGCCUAUGCCGGAGCCUCGAGGGCUGGAGAGCGGGAAGACAGGCAGUGCUCGGGGAGUCGCAGCGUGACGUCAUCAGGAGGGUGAAGCGCCCACGGGAGGGGGGCCCCGGGACAUUGCGCAGCAAGGAGGCUGCAGGGGCUCGGCCUGCGGGCGCCGGUCCCACGAGGCACUGCGGCCCAGGGUCUGGUGCGGAGAGGGCCCACAGUGGACUUGGUGACGCUGUAUGCCCUCACCGCUCAGCCCCUGGGGCUGGCUUGGCAGACAGUACAGCAUCCAGGGGAGUCAAGGGCAUGGGGCGAGACCAGACUAGGCGAGGCGGGCGGGGCGGAGUGAAUGAGCUUUCAGGAGGGAGGCUGGUGCAGGCAGGGGUGAGGAGCGCAGCGGGCGGCGAGCGGGAGGCACUGGCCUCCAGAGCCCGUGGCCAAGGUGGGCCUCGCGGGCGGCGACGGAGCCGGGAUCGGUGCCUCAGCGUUCGGGCUGGAGACGAGGCCAGGUCUCCAGCUGGGGUGGAUGUGCCCACCAGCUGCCGAAGGCCAGGACGCCAGGUCCGGUGGACGUGCCAAGCGGGACAUGACAUGGUCCGGUGUGACGGCGAGGACAGAGGAGGCGCGUCUGGCCUUCCUGAACACCUUAGGCUGGUGGGGCUGCGGCGAGAAGCGGGUCUGUUUCUUUACUUCCUCCACGGAGUCGGCACACUACGGCUGCCCUCUGGGCUCCCAGAACCCACAACAUGAAAGGUGCGGGGCUUCCUGCCACACCUGGGGUGGGGGGCACGCGAGAGGAGCUGAGUGGGACCUCACUCCUUCCCCAUCCACAGAAAUGGUGCUACCCAGCUCAAGCCUGGGCCUUUGAAUCCGGACACAAAACCCUCUAGCUUGGAAAGGAAUAUGCUGCACUUUACAACCACUGCACUACCUGACUCAGGAAUCGGCUCUGGAAGGUGAGCACCAGCGCUCGUUCCGGAAGCCUCCAGGCCCCCGAGCACCCUGCCCCCACCCCACCCACGUGUCUCUAUCUGCAGGUGAAGCUAGAGGAACGAGACCUCAUCAACCCAACACCAAAGACACCAUCGGAACAGCAGCGCCCGCAGCACCCACCCCCCACCGGCAACUCCAUCUUCAUGGCCACCCCCUGCGGCGGACGGUUGACCACCAGCCACCACGUCAUCCCAGAGCUGAGCUCCUCCAGCGGGAUGACCCCGUCCCCACCACCUCCCUCUUCUUCUUUUUCAUCCUUCUGUCUCUUUGUUUCUGAGCUUUCCUGUCUUUCCUUUUUCUGAGAGAUUCAAAGCCUCCACGACUCUGUUUCCCCCGUCCCUUCUGAAUUUAAUUUGCACUAAGUCAUUUGCACUGGUUGGAGUUGUGGAGACGGCCUUGAGUCUCGGUGUGAGUGUGCGUGAGUGUGAGCCACCUUGGCAAGUGCCCGCCCAGAGACCGGCCGCCCUCCAUCUGGGCCGGGUGACUGGGCGCCGGCUGUGUGCCCGAGGCCUCACCCUGCCCUCGCCUAGUCUGGAAGCUCCGACCGACAUCACGGAGCAGCCUUCAAGCAUUCCAUUACGCCCCAUCUCGCUCUGUGCCCCUCCCCACCAGGGCUUCAGCAGGAGCCCUGGACUCAUCAUCAAUAAACACUGUUACAGCAA